rnacentral:rRNA from 1 species
GGCCGCAGUAUUUUGACUGUGCAAAGGUAGCAUAAUCAUUAGUCUUUUAAUUGAAGGCUGGUAUGAAUGGUUGGACGAGGCAUAAGCUAUCUUAUAGUAAUUUUUGUUGAAUUUAGGAUUUAAGUAAAAACACUUAAUUUGUAUUAAGGGACGAGAAGACCCUAUAGAGUUUAAUAUAUGAAUCAUUAAUUAGGUUAUAGUAUGAAAUUUUUAAUUUGUGUAUAGUAUAUUUAAUUGGGGUGAUUAAAAGAUAAAAAAAACUCUUAUUUUUAGUUAAUAAUUUAGUUAAAUUAUGGAUCCAUAAUUAAUGAUCAAAAGAUUAAAUUACCUUAGGGAUAACAGCAUAA